UUUCUAGAAAAAUUGGCUGAUGAAAAGAAUACAACCUGUUAUAGUGCAAUUUUUCGUUAUUUUUGCAUCAUGCUGACCAUGACGAAGGAUUGCUAGAUGUCAAGGCUGAUUUCACUGGACGAAACUUUUUGCUCGACAAACAAUGCAAAGAAUGCGAUGCAAAGUCGUCGACAGUCAUCACUGUUGGUCGCUUCGUGAUCGAGGAAACAUACAAUACGUGUCCUCCUUGCAACGUUUGACUUUGGUAGACGAUGGAGGAAAUUAUUUUCGUUACUUUAUGAUAAAAUUAAAGGAGAAGAAAAAGAAGUGAAAGUAAAUGGCGUAAUUUUUCGCCGUUCGGAUUUCUCUUGGACAAAUCGGAGAGUUCGUUUCGCAGAGAAUACUUUGAAACGAGCGAUUCGACUUCGACAACUUCGUUUUUCCGUAAAAGCGUAUCGUGUAUUUUUCGAAACGUUUAAAGAUCGAUAAUCAAAUUUGAACAAGAAUGUACGAGUUUACGUUUCAACGACGUUGGGGAAAUUCCGAAGAAAAUUCAUCUUUUAAGGAUAAAGCUGACGAUACACAGAAUAAAAUGUUUAUGUACUUCGUUA